UGGCUAAAGAAUUUUGGAAAUAGUUUGGGCUUGGGCCUUGGGCCCAAGAAUAGUGUAAGGUUAGAGUCCAAAAUUUACUCUGGACACCCAACCGACGGGUAUGCUAGUGAACCUAGCCCAAUAAGUUAGUCAACCUUUGACCCAAACCUCUUCCUUGAUCCAAUAUGGUCCUUGUAGCUCAUAAUGACAUCUUUGCAUAAUUUUGAAAUAUACUUGUGCGUGCGUUUACGAUUUUCUUAUUUUACCUUUCUUAAUAAUUGGCGAAAUUUCUGCUCGCCUUACCCGAAGCUUACUCGUCAAGCAUCUCACCGACUUUCAAAAGCACAAUUUAUUUACUCCUUCAAACUCGAGCAAAAAAAAUUCCGACAAAACUUACUUUACCGUUUUCCUAUCUAAGUACCAAGUUUGGUGAGGCCCAAUCUUUAUUUGGUCAUGCCAACAUUUUAAUUUUUGAGUUUCCUUAUAUUUACUUAUUUUACUUUUAUUUUCCCCAUCCUCUUGGUUUUUACAAUUUCUUACUUUUACCCAAAUUUAUCUGCCCAAAGCUGAGCCUUCUCCUUCACACGCAAAACUCAGCUUUUCCUCUUUCCUUGUUCACGUCAGAGUUGGACAGAGAGAAAGGGAGCCUCGUUCAGCUCUUCCCCUCCACGUUUCCAUCAUGCAAAGGGCAACUCCUCCAAGAACAUCUCCUCAGACCUUCAAAAGAGAGAACCCAGGCCAUAAAUCGUCACUCACCCUUCUCUCCUCACAUUUCCUCUCGUCCCUGGACACAUCAGUCUGUUUACGAGCCCAAAAACACCUAGUUAGAGACCUCCGAUGAAAAAACUUUCUUCACCAAAGUUGUUCGUCUAUGUCUCCUCUAUUUAGCCUCAAAAUUUCAGCUCCGUCGGAGUCGAUUUGAGUCCUGUACACCGCUCGAAGCGGAAGCUGUUCUGAAACGAGCCUGUUCCGGAUUUCUGCUUGAAUUUCCUCUCUUGCUCUAUCCGAAUCCCUCACAUCUUACUUGAGACUGGUACAAACACUUGUCUCUGUUUCACUUUGCAUGUUCGAGAUUGAGCGAACUUCUUGGCCUGUGGAUGGACUCGAUCCAAUCAGCUCCCUCAGCUCUCUUUCCUGUUGAAAUCCUCAAGAGAAGCUCACCUUUUUUAUUAGUCUUUGGCUUGACAUCGUGGUGGAAUCUUGUGAAGUUGGUGGUUGCUACAAGGUUGCAUUGAGGCCAAGUGCUGCAAGAGAAAGCUCGAGUUCCAGGUAGGGGAUGCCUUUAACUCUAUCUAUGCUUUUCUUGCAUAUACUAUGUUUUAUAUGAGGCCUCUUGCAUGGUUUUUGGAAAUUAUCUGUUUUACAAUUGAAAUGGUUUGCGUGGAUUGGAUUGAUGUGUUGGCAAUUGAUGGGGAUGUAAGGAGAGGUCAGUUCCUCUUUGAGCCACCGGUGGUGGGCAGUGUGCACCAUGCCCUUGUUAUCUCCCCUUUGUCUCUAGCCUUGUGAUUAAUGAAUUCCGGAAAGUGAUUGGCUAGAUGGACGGUUGUGAUGGAAGUGUGAAAGAUGAUCAAUUGCCGUGGGAUUGUAGUUACGUGGUGACGAUCACGUGGAAGCGCAAACCGGUUUUAUCUACUUCUUUUAUUCAAACAAUAACUCAUGUUUUUAAACUUAGAUAUGGGGGCGGGCAUGGGCAAUGACUGGAUGUAGGAGCCUAACCCCUACUUUAGUUUGUUUUGCAGGCUGUUGUUGUUGAAGCUUGGGCACGGAGGAUAAUCCUUGGAGGACACAAUUUGUUUUACUCUAUUUAAAGUUUAUUUCCUUUCGGCUUGCUUGAUUUCACUAAAAUUUUGUAACAUUAUGUAUGGUUGAUGAUGUGUGUGCUUGCUUACCACCAAAGUGGAACCCUAGGGUUAGAACCUCCAUUUGAAUUUAGGUCCUAGUGGGCUAGACCUAGAAGACUCACAUAAAUUACCAUUUAAUGAACUUAAUGCAAACUUGGGGCUAAGAAUUAAAAAUUGACAUAGGUUCUAAAACUCAACUCAACACCACCUUCCUUUCCUCUUAUUCGCCUAGUUCGUAAUCUUGUGAUUACGAGCCAAGCCCACUAUACAAGCCCAAAAAAUUUCGGGCUUAUAGAUUUCUUGUUUUCCCACCUAAAGGCCUUGUCUCUUUGAGGAAUUCUAGGCCCAAAACACUUACUCCAAGUGUUGCGGGUGUAGGGUUCCUUGGGGAGGCGGCGCUGUGGUAAUCCGGUCUCCGGGUCGCCACAGAAAAGAUGGUAUCAGAGCAUAACGGUUCUGAUGGACCUUGAACUUAAAACCUUUUCGUUGUGUGAAGUUUGAAGGAUUGUCUUUAAUCCUUGUUAAUAUUAUCAACCAUUCUAAAAGAGUUAAAAAUAAAAAAUAAAAAUAAAAAAUAAUAAAAAAAGUGUUUUUUUUUUUCAGAUUUGAAAGAAAAGAAAAAUGUCCGACUCCUCCAUGGACUCCUCCGGCACCGACAACAGAGCCGAAUCCUGUGUGACCGUAGAACUGGAACCCUCCGCCCGGAUUGAUGUUCCUCCACCCUUAUCUUCUAGUACUCUUCCCUCUUCCUCCACUCCGCGUCCGAACCCGAAGGUGGUUGAGAUGAGGAACCUGAUUGCCGAAAUUGAUAGGGAUCUUGAAAGUGUAACAAGGGCAAUGAUCGGACCUGUCUACCCUCGACAAAAGAUCAAUACCUUACAGGGGUAUAUUCGGGAAUUCUUGGCGGUGAGAGCUAGGCAUCCCAACGUAUAGGAAAGCUUAGAGGACCGUAAUUAUCGAUUCAUACACGGUCUGAAUUCAAGGAUGCGGGAAAGGAUGACGAUGAACUACUCCCGACCAUGGCACGAGGUUGUUGAGGAGGCCGAGAGAGUUGAUGCAUUCUUGGACGAGAUAUACACUGUGCUCGAUGCAGAAGGUGACAGACGACCACUUCCUCUGGAAAUUCAAGCAAUCAAAGACCGUAUCGAUCCUAUAGACUAUAAUAGGGAGAUGAGAUUUUAUCCCUACGAUCCGGAAGAUUCGGAUUAGGACUUUUGUUAGUAGGACGUUUGUGGUCACUUUUGUUAGACCCCUAGUUUCUAGUUGCUUUUCGAACUCUUUAAGCUUUCCUUUGCUUGUUAAACACCCCUAGUUCUCAUCUCUAAUUGCUUGGUAAUAUUCCUAUGUUUGAACUUCGAUUUUCGUUUUCUAAAGCAAAAUUCGACCUUGCUUAAAAUUCCUGAGUCAAUUACUAGACUGCCCACUUCGAGCCUUGUCUUGCCCAACCUAUUGAUCUUCAAAAUUCGUGAAUUUUUGAUAUGUUUCAGUUUGGUUAGUUAACUAUGGAUCUGGAAAUUUUCACCUCUUUCUAUUGUGAAAUAAAUUCGGGGUGAUUUUUCAAAGUUCAGUCUGCAGUUGACAAAAAUCUGGCAGCAUUAAUUCGCGAAACGUUGUUGAGAUUUGAAUCUUAUUUUGAAACAAAGACACCCACUCUCCUAUACUUCCUAUUCUUUCCUUUCUCGGGCUCAAACAAUACCCAUCCUCUAACUCUUUUAGUUAUAUGUUGCCUCAUUCAAUUUCUUUUAGGGAACACACCAUUCGUUCAUCGAGACCGACUUCCCUUUUGUUGGACAUUCACAUAGUUGAGGUUUCCCUCACUCUUUCUUUCUCCAACUCUUGUUCCCGGAACACUUUCUCGUACUUAGUAGGAGUGCCUUCAAGGUAGAAAAUGGACUCUAUACCCAAUGAAGAUCUAAUGGCGAAUAGGAUAGUCCUCGAUAGUUUAAAUGCCUUCUUCCCUUCCAAAUUGUUACGCUGCCUAUUGUCACUUGGUUUGAGCUGGUGGUACUAGACCUGGUAUUAGGUAAACUAUAGGCUAUUUACGGAGGACUCUUGGCAAUCGGAAAUGAAAUUUUAGGAUGUCUUGAUGUUACCCACUCGAAGGAUCAACCUAUAACUUCUCGCGGCUCGUGGAGAAUUUCGACACAUGGGAUCAUAAAUGAGGUUGGAUCUGCGUGGUACUCACAAUGCUUCAAUUGUUAUAUGAUGGUUAAAUUGACCUGAAUUUUUACAAGUAACACAUUCUUUUCCUUUUUCACUCCUUGCUGCGAUCCCUUUCUCACACUCUAUCUUCCACAUUAGUCGUCUUCGUCGUUAAUUGUUCGUCCAAUAGCUCUGUUUCUAGGAUGAAGACUCCACUUUUAACCACUUCAAGGGAAUACACAAGCAACUAAUAUGAAGCGUCACUGUAGCUGAGGAGUACUUUUGGGAAGUUCAAGAAGAAAAUAUUGUUAGCGAGACGAAGCGAAGUUAACCGCUUACUAGGGAAGGCCGUGAAACAAUAGCUGUUUGAGUAAGGAGCCUACAUUUGCGAUCGCGCAUCGCAUUUAUGUGAGGUAUAGGCGGAUCUCCAAGACUUACGUAUUGGGCGCAAAAAUUGUGCUUCCAGUUAUCAUCUGACUACACGGUGUUACAGCUAUGUCGCUUACUACGUGCUCGAUAGUUAUGUCUACAACCCUAGUACUUGUUCGUGGCUAAUGGCGAAAAAUGCGUGUUCUAUACUCUAAGAUAGUAAGUGAGUGGAUGAUUUCCUCACCAAUGUUAUUGGUAACGAAAGGCGUGACGAAAGUGUGCUACUUCGAAGUUAGAGUUCUAGUGAGCAAAGUGUAAAGGCAAGUGCAGAGAUUCGGAAAUGCGUUCUCCAACCCGAGUUAUUCUAGUUUGGUACUUCAGCUGAGAAGUUUUGGAAACACUUCCAUAUCUUAGUUUUGUACUUAGUUUGUAGUAGCUUAUACUAAAGACCAGUCAGACUAGAUUGAUCAUGUCGAUAAUAGGUCAUUCACCGACCCACAUAGUCCACCGAUUUCACCAUUCUAUAUCUAUGUCGUUCAAAACCGAUCACCUCAAACUUAGUGUUGAGAUUUUCGUCCCCGUGAUACUACCGCUUAUGUGCAAUCAUUACAUUGAGUCUACCAGCUGCUAUGGAGAAUGGACGCGUGCAAAUUCAGAUUUUUCGGCGAAUUCUUACCGACAUUUCCUACCAGUUUUUGGGUUGAUUGAGGUAUCAAUCUUCCUCCUUUUCCUCGACAUCUACGUUUUCAACAAAAGCGUGCAUUAUGAUUUUAGACUAUGGUGCAUGAGAAUGCUACUAUAGUAGUUUUUCAACGCAAGUUCAUCUUCGAAAAUGGGAAUUCUGUUCUCUACCAGAAUUGCUUCUGUCAGCAACUUUGAUGGCCGAUAACUAUGAGUUUGAGCCUUCAUACCAGUACGACUCCUUCAUGAAAGUUUCUCGGAAUUGCGUCUACUAUGCUGUGUUAGAAAUUGACAAUAAUCAAACGGUUAGAUUACUUUCAAUCGAGGUAAAAUUACGUACUGUCCAAGGAAAAUCUGGACUGGUAUAUAUAUAUAUAUAUAGUUGCAACUCUGAUACUAGUUCAAAUUCUGCGACCUCUUUCCUUCAAGUUCAGUUUCUCUUUGUUAUGGGACAUGUUCCACUUUGUCAUUGAGUUCUUUUGAUGGAGUCUCUACUCUGUCUUUGAGCCUGUGAUCACAACAUUUAUAAUUGGUAAGUUAAACCAAACUGAUUGGGUUUCUCGUUGUUCAAUUUGAGGUGACGGUGACAAGUCACAUUGCUAUGAAGUCUCGGCAAUAAAAGAAGUGCUUGCUUCCUAGAAUCUUGGCAUGAUAUGUUUCGUGCAUGGGAAGGUAUACCCAUGUGAUGGGCUGAAUUCUUCUUUAGCUUGCUUUUUCAAAGCGAUUGUUUUUGGAGACAGAAAUUUCUUGUGAAAAAAUUGCAAACCAUUUCAUGGGGGCCAUUACCCAAAUAUUGGAAUAUCUUGAUGGAUUGAAAGAUUAAAUGGCAAAUUUGUUUUCUCUCAUCAGUCAUUUGGACGAGUGGUAUCAUACCCUCUUUCCGGUAUCCUCUUCUCUACACGAGUGAUGGCCCGACCGGCCGGCGGAUCCCCAUCGAUACUUUUAUAGAGAAGGUAUGAAUCAACGGAUAUGGAUGGCACCCGAAUAAAUAAACUUGAAGUGAUGGACUGAUGGAGAGACUUGUAGCACCACCACAAUACCACUUUGGAGUUACGACGAUAUGACAUUUUCUAGCCAUGCUAGUUUGAAUUUCGAGGGCGAAAUUCUUUUAAGGGGGGUAGAAUGUAGACCCCGUGAAUUUCCGAACGUCACUUUUUGACGGGAUAAUUUUUCGCGACCUUUGUUUGGCUAAAGAAUUUUGGAAAUAGUUUGGGCUUGGGCCUUGGGCCCAAGAAUAGUGUAAGGUUAGAGUCCAAAAUUUACUCUGGACACCCAACCGACGGGUAUGCUAGUGAACCUAGCCCAAUAAGUUAGUCAACCUUUGACCCAAACCUCUUCCUUGAUCCAAUAUGGUCCUUGUAGCUCAUAAUGACAUCUUUGCAUAAUUUUGAAAUAUACUUGUGCGUGCGUUUACGAUUUUCUUAUUUUACCUUUCUUAAUAAUUGGCGAAAUUUCUGCUCGCCUUACCCGAAGCUUACUCGUCAAGCAUCUCACCGACUUUCAAAAGCACAAUUUAUUUACUCCUUCAAACUCGAGCAAAAAAAAUUCCGACAAAACUUACUUUACCGUUUUCCUAUCUAAGUACCAAGUUUGGUGAGGCCCAAUCUUUAUUUGGUCAUGCCAACAUUUUAAUUUUUGAGUUUCCUUAUAUUUACUUAUUUUACUUUUAUUUUCCCCAUCCUCUUGGUUUUUACAAUUUCUUACUUUUACCCAAAUUUAUCUGCCCAAAGCUGAGCCUUCUCCUUCACACGCAAAACUCAGCUUUUCCUCUUUCCUUGUUCACGUCAGAGUUGGACAGAGAGAAAGGGAGCCUCGUUCAGCUCUUCCCCUCCACGUUUCCAUCAUGCAAAGGGCAACUCCUCCAAGAACAUCUCCUCAGACCUUCAAAAGAGAGAACCCAGGCCAUAAAUCGUCACUCACCCUUCUCUCCUCACAUUUCCUCUCGUCCCUGGACACAUCAGUCUGUUUACGAGCCCAAAAACACCUAGUUAGAGACCUCCGAUGAAAAAACUUUCUUCACCAAAGUUGUUCGUCUAUGUCUCCUCUAUUUAGCCUCAAAAUUUCAGCUCCGUCGGAGUCGAUUUGAGUCCUGUACACCGCUCGAAGCGGAAGCUGUUCUGAAACGAGCCUGUUCCGGAUUUCUGCUUGAAUUUCCUCUCUUGCUCUAUCCGAAUCCCUCACAUCUUACUUGAGACUGGUACAAACACUUGUCUCUGUUUCACUUUGCAUGUUCGAGAUUGAGCGAACUUCUUGGCCUGUGGAUGGACUCGAUCCAAUCAGCUCCCUCAGCUCUCUUUCCUGUUGAAAUCCUCAAGAGAAGCUCACCUUUUUUAUUAGUCUUUGGCUUGACAUCGUGGUGGAAUCUUGUGAAGUUGGUGGUUGCUACAAGGUUGCAUUGAGGCCAAGUGCUGCAAGAGAAAGCUCGAGUUCCAGGUAGGGGAUGCCUUUAACUCUAUCUAUGCUUUUCUUGCAUAUACUAUGUUUUAUAUGAGGCCUCUUGCAUGGUUUUUGGAAAUUAUCUGUUUUACAAUUGAAAUGGUUUGCGUGGAUUGGAUUGAUGUGUUGGCAAUUGAUGGGGAUGUAAGGAGAGGUCAGUUCCUCUUUGAGCCACCGGUGGUGGGCAGUGUGCACCAUGCCCUUGUUAUCUCCCCUUUGUCUCUAGCCUUGUGAUUAAUGAAUUCCGGAAAGUGAUUGGCUAGAUGGACGGUUGUGAUGGAAGUGUGAAAGAUGAUCAAUUGCCGUGGGAUUGUAGUUACGUGGUGACGAUCACGUGGAAGCGCAAACCGGUUUUAUCUACUUCUUUUAUUCAAACAAUAACUCAUGUUUUUAAACUUAGAUAUGGGGGCGGGCAUGGGCAAUGACUGGAUGUAGGAGCCUAACCCCUACUUUAGUUUGUUUUGCAGGCUGUUGUUGUUGAAGCUUGGGCACGGAGGAUAAUCCUUGGAGGACACAAUUUGUUUUACUCUAUUUAAAGUUUAUUUCCUUUCGGCUUGCUUGAUUUCACUAAAAUUUUGUAACA